CAGGGCCCAGUACCCAGAUGAAGCUGCUCUUCUGCCUAGGUUGUGCAUAAAGAGAAAAUUGUGGCAUAUUUCUUGGCCUAGAACCCUAAUGAUGUGACUCUCCUGCUUGUGCCAGGACCGCAGAAGGUGCUGCUUACAGAGGGCAUCAUGACAUAUUGCUUGACAAAGAACCUAAGUGAUGUUAAUAUUCUGCAUAGGUUGCUAAAAAAUGGGAAUGUGAGAAAUACCUUGCUUCAGUCCAAAGUGGGCUUGCUGACAUAUUAUGUGAAACUGUACCCGGGUGAAGUGACUCUUCUGACUAGGCCCAGCAUACAAAUGAGAUUAUGCUGUAUCACUGGCUCAGUGUCGAGGCCCAGAUCACAGAAGUAAUUGUGCCAUAUGUGGAACAAGCAGCUAAGCAAUAGAUAACAUCCAUCGUGGCUCUGCCUUCAAAGGGAAAUUUUACAUAUGUCACUGGGACCAUCACCCAGAUGAUGUCCUGCCCACUAAAAGAAUUGUGACAUAACGCUGACUGCAAAAACUGGGUAAUGCAACUCUCCUCUUUAUUCUGGAGUCUGCCAAAACAAGGGAUUAUCACAUAUUGCGGAGUCCAGCACCCAGGUAAAAUUUUGUCAUAUACCCAGCUUCAGAUACCAUGCAAUAAUACAACUAUCAUACCUGGACCCAAAGAGGAGAGAUAUUUUGAUUCUCAUUGCCAUUCUUAUGGCCACAAGCAAAGUAAUGGUUCUCAUAGUGGUAUAAAGUUCACACAGUAUUAUGACACUCCCAGCGUAUCAUAGAAAAUGUGAGUAGUACAAUGAGUGUUAUAACAGGGAACAGCAAACCAAUGCUAUUGUGAUUAUUGGAUUCACACCCAGCUGACGCGACUAUCAUUCUCUCACAAGAACAGAACCUGCAAAUAAAGUACUAAAUCUCACCAAAAGAGCAGUAAAAGA
rnacentral:lncRNA from 1 species